CCUGGCACCAGGCCUCGUCUCCCCUUCUUGCUGUGCCGGCGCAUGGCCGUGGCGGGUCUGAAAGAGCCUGCCUGUGCCUGCCGGAGGGGGGGAUGAAGCCAUGCCUCAUGGCCAUGAGCUGGCAGCUGUACCCAUGCCAGCACUCAUGGCAGAGGCCAUGGCUGCACGUGGGACACCCGGUGUGCCAAGGCACAGCCGGAAAGGAGCACGCGUGAGCUCCCAUGCGCAAUGGCGCACUGGGAUAGGGUUCUGUCCACGCCAUGCCCACAGCCGUGCCCCUCACACUGAUCUGCCUCCUGUUGUGUGCGCAGGUGAAGCCAUGGCAGAGAAGAACACCUGUGAAAAACUGACGGAAGACAACGCUGAGUCAGGCGCACUGCUGCAGGAGCUCAUGGAGGUGUGUGAGCCACCUGCAGAAACCCCGCAGGGUAGAGCUGCUGGGC
ensembl:lncRNA